rnacentral:tRNA from 2 species
GGGGACGUAGCUCAGCUGGGAGAGCGCCUGCUUUGCAAGCAGGAGGUCAGGGGUUCGAAUCCCCUCGUCUCCA